ACCCUCCCAAUCCUCCGGUGAGGUCCUUCCAGACUGCCCGGGAAAGAGGUGAGGCAGUUGACCUGGGGAGGUGUUCAGAGCCUCACCCUCAGUCACCCAGCCAGAGGCACCCACGCUGAAUUUAAAGGUGGCCUUAAUUCUGGCAUCCUCUGCACCGCACUCCAUGGAAGCAGCACGUGACAACAGGUGCAUGCUCCUCUAAAUAGCAGCUCUGGUGAACUCUCAAAAGAUAGCCAUCCACAAGCCAAGGAGAGAGGACUCAAGAAGAAACCGACCCGGCUGACACCUUGAUCUUGGACCUCCAGCCUCCAGAACUGAGAUGACAAACUUCUGUUGUUUAAGCUGCCCAGUCCGCUGUGUUUUGUCGUCACCCAUCUAGAAAACUAAUGGGGUCAGCUGCACUCCCUGUGGCUGGAGAAUGAGCGAGGCUCAUUCUCAUGGUGCUACAUUAACAGCAACAACUUUCCCCUACCUUCAUUUACAAAGAACACAGCUCCUCCUCUGGAUGCAGACACAAACACCCACACGGGAGGAGCUAACAACAUCAGUGACAGAACUAGGGGACAGCGGGACCUUACUGAACACCAGUCAGUGUGCCUGGAUUGGGCGCCACUGGGAAUUCUUCCUCAGACGUGAGUCAGUCAGAGGCUUGGAAGUCACUUGCCAAUCGGGGUCUGCCUUCUUUUGCUGCCUUUGCAGACCUUUCUUCUGCCACGUGUGUUGGACGCAUGGCCCAGUCACCCCUACUGCUCCAGCUGAUAGCCAGCCAACCUCCUGGCACAUGAAAGAGGCCAUCCUUUAUCCACCUUUCUCGGCUGAUCCACCAUCUGACCACAGAUGCAAGAGCAAACCCAGCCAAGAUCAACCCAGAAGGCCCUCCCACUGACCCAGACACUCAUGAGCUAAACACAUUUCUGGCAAGAUUUCCUACAGCUGUGGCUAUAGCUAAUUGAGAGUACCUAUAAC
ensembl:lncRNA